UUUAAAACAAAGCUGAAAGUUACUGAAAUUGAACUUGUGAACAGACAUGCUAAUACUUGUUUUCCUUUUGGGAAAGAGGAGAACACGGAGGUAAGCGAUACACGUGAAGUUACUGUGCUUGCCCUUAGGUGAAGAAGAAGACAAGAAGCAGGAUGCGAGCACAGACACAAAUGCAUGAUGGGAACAACCAGCUAAGAGGAAGGAGGACCCUCCCACAUUCCCCUGAAAAGGCAGCCCAUCCUCAAGGGAUUUCCUAACCUGCUGAAGUAAAGGAAGCAUCUGCUGAAUCAAGUGUGAACCAAAGCUGCAAGGGUUUCUCUAUGUAGCCCUGAUUGUCCUGGAAUUGCUUUGCAGACCAGGCUGGGACUCGAACUCAUGCUCGCUGGGAUUAAGAUGUGCACUGCCCACCUCCCAGCUCCUCCAAGCAUUCUUGGGGCCAGAGGAGGUCAGGCCCCAAGUUUCUGCUUCUUCCCUAAACUCUGAACAGGGAGAUAAUGGAGACUGUCUCUUCCUCUGUAGAACAGGCUUAAAGGAAGCAGAGCAAAUACAGAUCCAGAUGGAGCAAUCUAUAAACAAAGGCAAAACUCUGGAGCCUUGCUUGCUGGUGAGAGCAUUGGCUGUCCUAGCUGCGCUCCUCAAGGAUUCUAGAAGAGAAACACCUAGCGUCCAGGCAGAAUGCUAGAGACACACUUUAAAAAAAAAUCCUCAUGGGAAGUAGAAAAAAGACAAGAUCUCCUGAGUAAAUUGGUAACAUGGGGAUCUUGGGGGGAGGG